GCCUGGGUGGCUCAGUCGGUUAAGCGUCUGACUUCAGCUCAGGUCAUGAUCUCGCAGUCCAUGGGUUCAAGCCCCGUGUCGGGCU
rfam:Felis catus isolate Cinnamon breed Abyssinian chromosome A2, whole genome shotgun sequence.